GCUGAAGAAAUGUCAACAAUUGCGAGUUUUGAAGGAUUCCAGGCUGUGUCUCUGAAGCAAGAAGGAGAUGACCAACCCUCUGAGACUGACCACCUAUCGAUGGAGGAAGAGGACCCGAUGCCAAGACAGAUUUCAAGGCAGUCAAGUGUGACUGAAUCAACUCUUUACCCCAAUCCUUAUCAUCAGCCUUAUAUCUCACGGAAGUACUUUGCUACACGGCUCAGGAGCUCCCAGCUAGAAGGGUCUUGAGGAAUACUGAAUCCAGAAUCCAACCUUUGAUGCACACAAAUGAGGUAUGACUUGGUGCCAAGGUCAACAAGCAACUUCUGGGCCAUGCAAGAACUAGAAGACAGGCCUGGAACCCAGGACCCUCGAUGCUUUCCACCACACCCCACUGCCUCUGACCUUGGAAAAUGAAUGAAAAGUCACGGAAACAAAGAUCCAAACUACUUGCCAUCGUCUGCUUGGAUAACCUUUUCCUUUGGUUUCAGUUCAUCUGCUAUUAUUGCUUACACAUAUCUAAAAAAAGGCCUAGUGCCUUCUCUGAACAAAAGUACCCCUCAAGGCUAAUGACUAGAGGUAUAUUAUGAUAAUCUUCUUGGUUGUGGAGACUGAUAUUCAAAAGCAACUUCUUAUGAAAGGAACAAUACUUAGUCCACAUGGGUAAAGAUAUUUUUAAACUCUCUGUAGGACUCUAUAUUUGCAGAUACCUUGUCAGAAAGUUGAAAGCGAUUUGGGAUGGGGAAUUAUCUCUAAAUUUAUACUCGAGAAUGUAAAUUACAUACAAACUAAUGGGACU
rnacentral:sRNA from 1 species